UGCUUCUUCUCUUGCAUUUACAAACACCCAAGGCUAUACCCUUCUUAACUCAUUUUUUGGUGGUGGAUUGAAGCACUUUCAAGGAGAGUUUACCAUUUUUGUUCCACUUCAUCUCCUCAAAUUUUCACCUUUGAACAUAAUCCAAAAAGAAUUUUCUCAAUGUCGAGUCAGAUCGUGAAUCAAAAUUGGAGAAACGCAACUCAAUCAAAUCAACCGUAUAGUCCAAUCAAAUCAUGGAGCAACAUUGGAGACAACAGAAGGAUAUUGACCAUAGAACUUCCAGGUUUUACAAAGGAUCGUCUACGAAUCAACUUGAAUACAAGAACAAGGACGCUUAUAAUUACAGGACAAAAAUCAGAUGGCCUAUUCAAUAUUACUCCUUUGAACGAACAUAUACAAAUCGAAGAAACCUGCUCACUAGAUGAAGUACAUGCAAAAUUGGUUAAUGAUACUCUUCAAAUUAUAUUUUUCAAAACCUAAUAAAUCUUCCUUUACAUUUAAAUCAAGAUUUACUAAGUGUAUGCAUAAAGAUUAACUUCUAUGUCCACAAUAGGGUUGGUGAAUGUAGAAACUUGUUUCCAUGUUUGUAAUUCAACUUAUAUGUGAAGGAUGAUGUUAGUGAGUACAAUGAAACCACACUCUCCAAUAUUUACCUACUUAUGUGGUUGCAGAAGGAAUAAUAACUAUGUUGUUUAUUCAUUUUACUUGAAAACAAUAGUGUUACGCCUUUGUUUGUUAUCAAUAAAGUGAACUUUAAUA